rfam:Clostridium sulfidigenes strain 113A c10, whole genome shotgun sequence.
CCCUGGGAGUGUUAUAGCAAACGAAAGUAGCUUUAUAGCAAAAUCGGACACAUUGAACAGGGAA